GACGAACGCUGGCGGCGUGCUUAACACAUGCAAGUCGAACGGAAAGGCCCUGCUUUUGUGGGGUGCUAGAGUGGCGAACGGGUGAGUAACACGUGAGUAACCUGCCCUUGACUUUGGGAUAACUUUAGGAAACUGGGGCUAAUACCGGAUAGGAGCUCCUGCUGCAUGGUGGGGGUUGGAAAGUUUCGGCGGUUGGGGAUGGACUCGCGGCUUAUCAGCUUGUUGGUGGGGUAGUGGCUUACCAAGGCUUUGACGGGUAGCCGGCCUGAGAGGGUGACCGGCCACAUUGGGACUGAGAUACGGCCCAGACUCCUACGGGAGGCAGCAGUGGGGAAUAUUGCACAAUGGGCGGAAGCCUGAUGCAGCAACGCCGCGUGCGGGAUGACGGCCUUCGGGUUGUAAACCGCUUUCGCCUGUGACGAAGCGUGAGUGACGGUAAUGGGUAAAGAAGCACCGGCUAACUACGUG
rnacentral:rRNA from 1 species